GGCCUCGUAGCUCAGCUGGUAGAGCGUUCGCUGUACAAAAGCUGAGGCGGCGUCCAUGUGUGGGCUCAAACCCCACCGAGGCUA
rnacentral:tRNA from 1 species